rnacentral:rRNA from 1 species
CGGACGGGUGAGUAAUGUCUGGGAAACUGCCUGAUGGAGGGGGAUAACUACUGGAAACAGUAGCUAAUACCGCAUAACGUCGCAAGACCAAAGAGGGGGACCUUAGGGCCUCUUGCCAUCGGAUGUGCCCAGAUGGGAUUAGCUUGUUGGUGGGGUAACGGCUCACCAAGGCGACGAUCCCUAGCUGGUCUGAGAGGAUGACCAGCCACACUGGAACUGAGACACGGUCCAG